rnacentral:lncRNA from 1 species
AACUAUACCAUGGUCCAUGGAUCUACCAUCAAUGAAAUAUUAUACAGAUCACAAGUGGAUCUACCAUAUUAUUUUCAAACAGGGCAUUUGGUCUAGUGGUAUGAUUCUCGCUUUGGGUGCGAGAGGUCCCGAGUUCGAUUCUCGGAAUGCCCCAAUUUUUUUUUUCAAUAUUUAAAAAUUUCAGAGAGAGAAGCACCAGAUAAUUUAGUUCAUAUUUCAAAAGGGAUAAGCAACUCUUUCCUAAGUGCUAGAGCACAAAGCUUAGUUAUACAUCCAAACAUGGUUUAAUUUAAAUUUGAAAUAUUAUUCUUGUUGGAUGCACAAAUUGAGCAUUUGUUUGGGUGUUUGGUAAGGGACUAGAAGCUUUUGAGUUCAAUUCUUAGGGGAUACCUCUGGCACGUGCUUUAUGAUUUCCUACGCCUCAAGAGUGACUGCCUACUUGAAAUAAACGCUAUAGGUCCACUAUUAUUUUACCUCUACAAAUCACCACUAAAAAACAGCUCCAUCAGGAUCAUAAAUAAAUGUGUUUUCAAGCAGGGCAUUUGGUCUAGUGGUAUGAUUCUCGCUUAGGGUGCGAGAGGUCCCGAGUUCAAUUCUCGGAAUGCCCCAGUUUCUUUUUUUUUUCCCCAAAUUUAAUGUUCCAAAUUCCAUUCUAACACAGCCUAAAUAAAAUACUAGGAAUUUGUAAAUAUAAAUCACACCAAAUCAUGGAGGAUGGAUGCUUGAAUAAGCAGUCAGCCAUGUCGGGAUCCCACUUGGAAGCAAAUCUAUCAUAUAUAAUAUUUCAUAGUGACAAGCACAAUCUAUCCUUGCUAAAAAAUAGAAACGCACACAAACAUAUACAAAAGCUAUGCUAAAAGAAAGAAAGAAAAAAAAAAAGACACAGUAAGUAAAAGUAACUUCUCAAAAUACACCAAGUUAUCUAUGUGUGUUGCACAAGAUCAGAUCUAAAUCUUGAUAAGUCUUCUUUGAGAAGUGAAAGCAAGAAAAAACAAGGUGAAAAACUGUAUUUGUAGGGGGGGUAAUUGGGAAUGCUUAAGGGGCGUGUACCCAUUGACUUUCUUUUCAUAACUUUCAUUUCAACCAAAAAGCAAACAUUAGUUUAUUGUACAACGGAUCCAACAGUAAGAACAUAUCUUUUAAAUUACAGUAAAGAAUAACAAAUGUAAGGUAAAUAAUUAAAUAGAGUAUUUCCCCUUAUCCAACUUCUUUGAAAAAUUCCAAAUGCCAUUUAAUUAUUUGUCAAAUCUUUAUAAUUUUUAUCGUUCAAAGAGAAGAAUGUAAGCAAACAAACUAAAUAAAAGGUUGAGAGUGUAUAUGGAUACCAGAUAAUAGAUACGAAGGGUGAAUGCUUGAAUGCAGCCAGCCAGAUAAUAGAUAUGAACUAUGAAAGGUGAUUCCUUGAGAAUGCAGCUAGAAAGAAUCCCGCCUGAAAGGGCAUUUAUAUUCUGUCAUGCAAACUUUAGAAUUAUGAUAAGGAGCUUUUUUUUUUUUUUUUUGCUAACUGUGAUAGGGAACUUUGAUAAUUGGUUUCAAAGAGGCAAGCACAAGAUAAUUCAUAAAUCAAGGGAGAUAAUCAAGCAUCAUAACUUAGUUCAUCAAACCAUUCAACAGAAACUUUGCCAAGUACAUAAAAUCAUUGACAAGCCAUACAAUGCAAGGAUCAGAUCUACAUCUCCAUAUGUCUUGAUUACAAAAUGAAAUCUUGUAUUCUCAUAAUAAUGAUAGCUGAAACUCUGUAUUUGACAUAGAAAAAAACGGAACAAUUAAUCUGAUCGUAGAUCCUCAAUUUCGUAGUUAGCAGGGGAGGGAGGGGGAAACUAUUUGGUACAGCCGUACAUGGGGUUCUGAAUUAUUUAUAUCUUUUUUCUUUUUUGGAUGCCUUAUGUAGCGUGAAGUUGUUGACUUUCUACUCAUAAGUUUCAUCUCAACCAAAAACUUCAUGUAAUUACCAAUAACCUUACCAAACCCCAUUGAUAACGCAGCUCCACCAGCUACAAGUCAAUUGUACCACAAUAUUACGAUAAAUAAAAUUACUUAAUGAAUGUCUAAUAUUCAAACAGGGCAUUUGGUCUAGUGGUAUGAUUCUCGCUUUGGGUGCGAGAGGUCCCGAGUUCGAUUCUCGGAAUGCCCCCUACUUUUUCUGUCAUUUUCAAACGUAAACUUCCAAACUCCAUUCAUGAGAUCUCAAUACUUUCAUAGUUCAGGCUAAGUAAUACGUAGUGAAGAACCUAAUAAAAGAAGAAGUUCUACUUCUUCUUUUUUCUUGGAUGCCUUUUGUGGCAUGAGGUCGUUGACUUUCUAUUCAUAAGUUUCAUUUCAACCAAAUUACUUUUGUAUUCUACCAUUAAGCUUUCCAACCGCCAUUGCAGAAACAGAUCCACCAGCUACACAUUUGUCAAUUGUACCAGGGCCCGGCAUCAAUAGUUUUAAUAACAAUAACAGAUAUUAAAUGAAGUUAUAACAAACUUCUUUCAUUAUUCAUAAGAUCUCUAUACUUUAUAGUUCAAGAUAAGAAUGAAGUGAACCUAAAAAAAAGGAAUUGACUACAAGUAAAACAAGUGAUGGAGGAUGGAUGUCUGAAUAAUUAACGGAAUUUAUCAUGUAUACUUGCAUAUUUCACAUCAAAAUAUUUAGACAACCACAAGAUAAUCCAUAAAUCAAGUUGCUUUUGAAUGGUUGAUGAAACAAGUCAUUGGUAUACAAUUCUACCAAAGAAAAAAGAAAAAAGAAAAAAGUAAAAAGGGGUCAUUAAUGUGUAGAUAGCACAAAAUCAGAUCUAAAUUUCAACUAGUCUUAAUUAAAAAUUGAAAUCUUGUAUCUGAUAAAGAAAAAGAAAAAGGACAUUUGAACUAGUCUACGGAUAUACUCCCAAUUUGGGAUGAGACGUCUGAGUUCAAUUCUUAGAAUGUCUUAUGUGGCACAUGCUCAUUGACUUUCAGUAUAUAAUUUUUAUUUUAAAACUACGUCGAUCAUGCCAUGGAUUCAGCCAUUAUUUGGAUUACAAUAAAAAAAAUUAAAUAAAAUCAAUAUUCUCAAGCAGGAACUUUUAAAGGAUCUCUAUAUAUUUUAUGAAUCAUAAGAUCUUUAUAUUAAGUCAGAGAAGAAAGCAAAUAGACACCCUAGAUAGAAGACCAGGACUCUAUAUACAUAAAUACCAAAGAAAGGAAAUGUAAGAUCUUUUAACGAAGUCCAAGAGAAGAAUGUUAAGCUGAAUUAAAAAAAAGACGAACUAAAUAGAAAACAAGAAGUGUAAAUGCAUAGAUACCAAAUUAUGGAGGAUGAGUGCAAAUAAGUAGUUGGCCAGAAUUCCAGGUGGAAGCUCAUCUAUCAUGUACACUACAUAUUUUAGAUAAUCAAAUUUGAUAGUUAGUUUCAUAAUAAUGAACACAAAAAAAUAAAAAAUCAAGGGAGGUAGCAUGUAACCAACCUCAUUUCAUCAACCACUCAAAAGCAACUUUGUUAUAUGUACACUAAGUCAUUGAUGUGUGUAUGCCCAAAGAUCGACCAACCACUGCAGAAAUUGCAAACCCAUCUACUAAACAUUAGCCAAUUGCCUCGAAGAUCCAACAUCAAGAUGAUGUAACUUAAAUUACAAAAAAAAAUAAAGUUUAAUGAUAUGGUUCACUUUUGGUGUGAGUGAGAAACUACAAAAGUAUAUCAAAUUUGUAUUCCAUGGUUAUAUAAGGAGGCAUGCUAUUUUUUAAUCCACAUCCAAUGAUUAUUAACAGUCUUAUUGGAUAACCUUUCUAAUUUCUUAACAUUCAGUCUAAAUGAUUUCCAUCUGUCUUUAUACUUGUGGUUUGCUUUCUCUUCUUUCUUUUUCAGUAAUCUUUUUCUUUAAGAGAAGAUCCUCUUGCUCUCUAAAUGCGUGGGGGCACUAAUUUCCUAUUACAAAAACACUCCUUGGUGUGAAAGAAUAUAAGGGUUGGUUUAGCACAUGUUUUUCCAGGAGAAAUAAGAAAAUAAUUCUACUCAUCUCCGAUUCAUCCUAGAUCAUUACCUUUUUAGAGUAUAGUCAAAGCCUAAAAGAGUAAUGAUCUUUGUGCCAUAGGAUUAUUGUUAGCAGAUAUGACCCUCAUUCCUUUGAAUGGUUGUCUAAAAGGGUUAAAGGUAAAUUCAGGAAUUUGGUAAAGACAUUUCUCUAGAGUCCCUUCCUUCUCCUUUCAUGUUCUUUGUGUCGUAGAGGAAGGCACAAAUACUUACUUCUGGGAGAGCAGUGGGUAGAUGUUAAACCCCUCUCUGUUCUACGUUUCCUCAUUUGCAUCAUCUUUCUUAGAAGAAUAGGCAUCAAAGAAGUAGGUGCCACCUUGUAGUUGUAACUGGCUUUAAAGGUAGCCCACCACGUAUUAUUUGACUAAAUUGGACACAUCUUGUGCACCACAUGAAAGUUCAACAAACUAGAAUUAGAAACAUUCCUUAAAAUGUCUUUCACCAAGGUGUAUGAAGUAUGAACAUGAGUCACAUCUGCCAGAAAUACUACUUACAGUUAAUUCAACGUAAGCAACCCAGACUUUAACAUUCAACUCAUCCAAGCAAAGAACAAUUUAGGAAGAAAGCUGAAACAACAAGAUACUUGAAAGAGGAAGAGAAAACUGGAAAGCACAACCAUUUGUUUCUGAACAAUCUUGAUAAGAGACUCAAAAUAUAGAUGUUUUUUCUUUUAAAACAAAAUACACUAUUUCAGUAUAGAAACGGCCAGCUUAAAGAAUACCAUAAAAAGAAGGCACCUUACAAAAGAAAUCCAAAAUUAGCUAUUAAAGAAAAGGGUUCUAAUAGUUAAUAGACGUAGGGUAAUCACAAUAAUGGUUUGAAAGAGAAGGAUAAUACAACUCUUGCUCAAGGGGUUAGAGAAUCCAAGUUCAAUGCUUGGAACACCAUAACAAUUUUGUUACAAUUGUUUCUUCUUGAACUACAGUUUAAAGACUGAGUCACAGUGAACAACAUGUACAACAAACAAAGCUGGACCAACAACUAAGCUGAAUGGAAGCCAAAACUCUACAAUCAGAAACACAAAGCUAUAUAGAGUAUAAACCACUGACUGCCACACUCAUCCUGAAGCUAAAUUUAAACAAAUAUAGCAACUCGAGAGAAUAAAGAGAAGCUAAGCAACUUCACCUGGCUAUUUUUGAUCCGAAUCCUUGAGACAUCACAUCACUAGUUGAAGCUUGCAUUGGUUAUCUGAAAAUAUAUUAAAAGUGCUUCACUUUCUUCUAUGAGCUUACAAUUAUUCGGAAACAUUUUCCAUCAUUUUCUCGACAACCAAACAGCCCGGAGAUAAUUGUGGUGUACGGAUAAAGCUUAAGAGCACCAUCUUGGUUACCGUGCUAUAUUCGUGGGCCUUUCAAUAUCUCAGGCCCAAUUUUAUGCCUUACUAAAUGUCACAUUCCGCCGGCCCAACCUAAAGUAACCAAUAUUGCAGCCACCAACCUCAAAUAAAUAAAUAAAUAAAUAUAUAUAUAUAUAAGAAUUUAGAAUAUAUUUAAAAUUAGAUAACAAUAAAUUUGUAUCUUUCAUAUAUUUUGUUAUAUUUUUAUAAUAUUUUUAAAAUUUUCUUAUAUAAUUAUUAUAUAAUUGAUACAUUUGCAACUAUCUAUCCAAAUUCUGAGAUUUUGAAUACUCAAAAUGUAGAUAAGAAAUAAUUUCUAUUUUCGAAAUUCAAAAUUUUUAGAAUUAUUGAUAGCUUUUUAUUGUAGAGUUUUUAUUAAAAAUAAAAAUAAAAAAAUUUGUCAAAAAGACCAAAUAUUUACCCUUCUUGUAAAAAUGAAUGACAAUGAAUUUCAAUUCGAUUUUUUAAAAAUAAUUAUUUAAACUCUAAAAAUUUCUACAUUUCUAUAGAAUUUUGAUUUUGUUAUUUUUCGAUUAAUUAUGUUAAUUUAGAAAAAAAAUUCAAUUUUAUGGUUCUUAUUACAGACAACUCUAUAGUUUCAUGCAUGAAGUGUCAUUUUCAACUCAAAACCUUCACUCCUAGAGAAAUUGAAUUUGAGAAAAAACUAUAUAAAAAGAAAAACUCAUUCAAACAUUUUCAUUAAAUUUUUCAUCAUAUCAUCUUUAUAAGCUUAGUUAACUUUACUGUUAUUUAAUAUAUAAUACAUAAACGGGGUUGGGUCAAUUAUGAGGGAGUUGGAGUUUCAAGGUUCGAUGAGUGGCCUCUUCAGUCACUUUGAUACUCACACAAAUGGAGGAAUUGGUUCGAGGGUGUUGCACUCUCACAUUGUAAUCUCCAUGAAACAACGAAGCAUCAACAAAACCUUCAUCAUCGGCUGUAAUUUCAAAGCUGGGAGAUUUCCAUUCACCCAAAAGCUUAUCCACAACAUCUCCUGCUGCUGUGUUCUUGAAAUUCAUAUCCACAAGCGGCAGAGUAGUGAAACCUACGGAUUCUGGGCCAGCAAAUGUGAUUAUCCCCUUCACUGCAGGAUGUGCAUACCCUUCUCUUAGAACUUCCUCGUAGUAUUGUGCCUGACAAGGGAAAAUUCCUAGUUUUGUUAGUUAUAUAUGUUAUGAUGAAAUGCCUGUAAGAAAUACAAUAGUACCUGAUUUGGAGUUUGGUGAACAAACACUUCUGUGAUCCAUAUGGGGUAGCCUGUUGAUCCUAGAAGGUCCAAAGCGGAUCUCAUGUAUGGCAGGUUGGGUGCAUCCGGGCCGAAGGUGCCCUGCAAGCCGAUUCCUGCUGGGAUGUUUUCGUUCCCGGGAUACGACAGGAUUUCGAGAAGUUUCUUUCUGAAGUCAGCUGGGGUUGCUGUAUUUUUGUAAUCGUGUUCCAUGAUAUUGUAUUCAUUCAUGAAAAGAAGUGUUUUGUUGUCAAGUUUAUGUGCUAUGUUGAAGUACUCUGCAGAGGCAUUUUCACCGAGUUUGUCCUCAAAGAAUCUGAAGUGCACGUUUUCGUUCACGACGUCCCAAUGGAUAAACUUUCCAGAAUAUCUCUUAACCACGGAGUUGAUUCUUCUAUCGGCUGCUUCCUUCAAAUCUUGAGGGGAGAGUGACUUGACCCAUUCUGGCUGGUAUUUUGGACUGUCCCAGAAAAUGUUGUGUCCUCUUACCGAAAUACCAUGUUGUUGGGAAAACUCAAGCAUUGCAUCAGGGACGGUAUAGUUCUCUUGGCCUUGUACGUUCUCAGUGCUAUACCACUUAAGUUCAUUGGUGAAAGUGGCAUAGGCAAAUCUUGAUGCAAACCACUGUUGGUAUUCUUUACUAAGGAGAAUGUGGUAGUUCAUUCCUGCCCCAAAUGGGAAGUUUGGUUUUUUCUGGUCAAUGAGGACUUUUGCACCUGCUAGUUUACUGUUGUCUGCUUGAGUUAUUUGCAACCUCACCUUGCUUUUCCUCACCUGCAAACUUGGUUCCAUCAUUUCAUAUACAUAUUACAUUCAAUAUUUGAAUUCUUUUGCUUUAUAUUACCUUGUUAAUGCUUUCAUCUUGGUGGGAUCGCCAUUGCUCCUUUGUAAACGGGUGUAGUGAGACAUUAUCAACCCAGAUUUCCACUUCUGUAUUUGUACUCUUAAAUAAAUAAAUGCAAAACAAAGUUAGUGAGAACGAAAUUAAGAGACUUGGCUGAAUGUUGCAACCUACUCAAAAGAAUUAGAACCAAACCAACCAUGCAGUGUCCUAGAUGAAACCAAGUUGGUAACAGCAAAAGUUACUCACCUCAAAAAUAAUCUCAGCUUGGCCUGUAAAAUUAGAGACGAUGCCACCUUUGAGCAAACUCCAGCAUCCAUGCUUGGCCAUGGUUUCACCACCAUGAAGAAUCUGACCCCCUUUACUAUUUCUGAAUACAACACCCACAGGUGCAUUUCCUUCACUUAAUCGAACCCAAGCUGGAAAUUUUGAAAUCUUUUGUGGAUCAACAAGUACCCACAAACUUAAGAUGAUCAUACAAAUUUGAACCAUAAAGAUAAAAGUAACGAACCUUCAAACUUAUACCAUUCGUUGAAAGUCUAACUUUAACAAGUUUAAAUGUAUAAUUACGAUUAAACCCUACUUUAGAGGCAAAAUUACCAAUUUACUCUAAAAAUAGACCAUUGAAAGAAAGUGAGAGUAAAAAGUUAAAACAUAGUAAAGAGUAAUUAGUGAAAAAAAGUAUAAUUAGAGACUAACGAUAAAGUAUUGAUGCAGAAAGGGCCGUCUAGUUGGUAAUCUUAAUUCUAUUUUAUGUUUUUAGAUUCACUGAAUUAAAAAAACAUAUACUUUCACAACCAAUUUAGAUUUUGUUUCUCAAAAACUGUUCUCAAGUUUUCUAAUCCAAUCAAUAAAAAAAAAAAAGAACUUAAAGGGAAAUGUUGGUGAGUAUUAAUAAUGAUUUAGAAAAGGGGGAGAUGAUCGUAAAGAAGAGGUACCGGAGAAAGUGUAGAGGUAAUGACGUUGGAGAUGAAGCAGUUGAUGAAAAGUAUCCCUUGGGGAAGUUCUGUUGUGAGCUACAAUGAAGGUAUUGAUGAGAUUCCCAUGCUUCAACCAUCCUUGCCUUAUUCUUCCUCCUCCAAACACUUUCCAACCUUCAAUCCCAUUGUUGAACUCUGGGUUCACUAUCAUCCCUCCCCCAUCAUGAACCCUUCUUGGCUUUCCCAAACACUGUUUUAUUUAUAUACUACCAUAUUACUCAUUUUAUCUUUGAACCUAUCCUAAACUAAACUAAUUGAUAUAUUGAAAAUCUUUAAGUUACACUACUUGCCUCAGUUGUGGCAGAAUAAUCAUAUGAGACACCUUGGAUGGUGAUGAUAAAUUUCCCUGCAUUAAUUUACAACACAACUUUUGUUAAUCAACUCAAAUUUAUGUAUAUUUUUAAUGUAGAGAUCAGUGAAAAAAAAAAACCUGAAAAUAUCAAAAUUAAAGGAAGCAAAAAGAAUCUGCAGAAAGCUUUGAAAAUGUUCAUAUCUUUCAGAUAUCAGAAAAAAGUUUUAAAAAAAACCCCAAAGAAAUCUUGAGAAGAAAAUAACUGAAGAACAACAAAGUUGCUUCUUUGUUAUUUUUUGUCACAUUCCUAAUGAACUAAUUCUCCAUGUGUUAUAUAUUUAUAGAACAAAAACUUGUAUGAAUUUUUGGAUUUCAUAAGCAUUUUUAUGGAAAGUAGUAGACUUUUUUUUAACCAUUACUGUCAUUUCUUUGCUCAUAUAUAUUUUUCUAAACUGUUUUAAGGUUACCAUUUUAAAAGAUUUUCUUAAUUUUUCUCCACUUGGUUUCCUUAAAUUGUAGUUUUGUCCAUUUACAUUUUGCAUGGUAAUUUCUAAUUAUAUAUAUAUAUAUAUGUUCAUUUGUACUGAAAAGGUUUAAUUUGUAUUAUAUAAUCAUAUGAAAAUCAGUUUUUGGUGCAAUAAUAUAGAUUUUAAAGGAAAUAGUAUAUAUAUAUUUGUCAUCCCAUGCUAUAUAAGAUAACUUUAUUUUCUAAUUUACUGAAAUUUAUACUUCAAUUAUCAAUGUUGAAAACUAAUUAUAACCUUUUUGGAAAAUUAAUUAUCAAUAUUGAUUGUGUGUACUCCAACUAAGAUGUUUCGUGAUAAAAUUAAAACAUAUUUUUUUAAUUCAAUAAUUACAAUAGACCGUAUGAGAUCAAACUAUUUUAGAUGAUAAUUUACAAAUUAUGGCUAAAUUGUAAGGAAAUUUGGAGAUGAGUUACGUAAGGACGACAUGAAGGUUAGUAUACGUUCUAGUUUACUCCAUUCUAUAAUACAUUAAAUUCGUGUGACAUGUUAGAUGUUUAUCAUAUUCUUUCCACGUAUUUAUAGAGAUUCAGUACGACAUGUUAGAUACCCAUUAACAUUUCAAUUAUAUUAAAAAAAAAUCAUAAGACAUAUAUAUAUAUAUAAAAGAAAAUCAACAAAUACUUUUUUUUUCAUUUUAUUGAUAUUACCAUAAUUGUGAUCUUGAAAAUUUCCAUCUAAUAUUUUAAAUCCUGAUCUUAUCUUAAUUAUUCAAGGAUGUGCCUUAAGUAAUAAUUUAAUUGAGACAAAUAUAUAUUAAGUAUUUUGUUACUUAAAAUCUAUUAUGUUCAGUGAUUUUAAUUAAUUAUCCUCCGAACCUUUUCAUUAAAUGAUUAAUUAUUAAAUAUAUAUUAAAACAGAAAGAUAUCAUAAUAAUCCAAUUAACAAUACACAUAAUAAUGAAAUGAUUAUCUCUAGAAAAAAAUAGUCUUAAUAUGGAUGGAUUCUUUUUAGGGAUAAUAUAUAUUGCAUGGAUUAACUAUACAAAACCCACCACAAAAAUUAAUUAAUUAUUUUCUAUUUUCUUGACACAAUAUAAAAUUAAUAUCACGUUCAUAUGUCAAAAAAACAUUUUUUUAAAAGAUCUUUCAGAAUUAUUAUAUGUAAAUUAUAGAAGGAAAAAAAAAACUUGACAUUUUUUUAUAAUCCGUGGUUAUUAUAGUAGGCAAGAUAUUAUAGUGUGCGAUGUAUAAUUAAUAGAGGAUGAGAUAUAAUGGUUUGUAUUUAGGUACACACUAUUUUACGUUAGAGAAAAAAAUAUCAUAAUAAAGAGAGGGAGGGAGGGAGGAUUAAGGAAAAUAAUGAGUUACAUGGUAAUAACGAGAGAUUUUAAAUAGUGUUCACUAUAGUAUAAUUUCUGCGACUAUUUCAACGCUUUCCUAAAGAAACAUUUGAAUUCUCGUUCAUAAUUUAAAAUAAAAAAAUGGAUUAGUUUUCACUUGUUCUUUAAAAUCUCAAUAGAAAAAUAAAAAUAAAAAUAAACAACAGCACAUAACAUAAAAACUUAUCAGUGAAAGAAAGAAUAGGUUUUAAAAAUCAAAAGAACCAAAAACAUGGAUUACCAAACCAACCUAUAAUUAGUUUUUUUAGAUUUUGAAAUAUUAACAUGGAUAAAAAUAUUGUUUUUAUCAUUUUUACUCCUACAAUAUAAAGUAAUUCUUUUAGCAUAUUGAGUAUAACAAAACAAGAUAAAAAUAAAUAAAUAAUAAAAAUCAAGAGGUCAUCUCAAUGAGAUUAUGGUCUCAAUACUUAUGCUAAUUUAAAGUUUAGUCAUUGUCUCAUUGAUCAACAAAUUAUUGUUUUGACAGAAAAAGUACUUGGUACACUAUAAGUUUUUAAACCCUUUCUGAUAUAUGUAUCUGAUGAACAAAAUAGUUAUAUGGAGUAGGUGCAAAUAUAUAUAUGUAUAGUGAAAGUUAAAAGAUGGGGUUUGGGUUGUAAUUGGAUUAAUGGGAGAUCAGAAAGAGACAUGCAUUAACCAUUAAUUGAAUGUUAGAGGGAAGAUAUAGGUGAGGGUGACAUCCAACUCAAAGCACUAUAUCAGAUGACUCCAAAACCAAACUUAUUUUUUGGUUGGAAAAGUUAGUACAAACUACAAAGGGUCAUUAGUUAUUUGAGAGUGAGUGAUCAGUGGUGUGAAGGAAUCAAUAUUAUUCCAAUAACUAUUUUUUUCUAUAGCAAAUUUAUUUUAAUAGCUAAUAAUAUAAUGUAUAUUACAUGAGUAUGACAUAUUGUUUCCAACUUAUUCUUUAUUUUGAACAAUGACACUUGGUAUCAUUCUUGUAUUUAUGUGUAAGGUAUAAUGAACAACAAAACAGGCAUGUAAAACCCCCAUGUGCUUUGGAAAUGUAAGUAGGCCAACAACACUUACCUUUUGUAUCUUCUAAAUACGUGGAAUCUCUUUUGGAGCUAUGGGUUGGAUGGUUGACAAAGCUCGAGGAGGAGGAGGAGGAGAAUCUUUUCUAGGCCAUUAAGAUUCUAUGACAUCCUUAAAACUAUUGAAUUGGAACAAAAAAAAAGAAAGAAAGAAAGAAAAAGAAGAGUAAGAAGUAAGGCUUGCACCUAGGUUUGGAGGUUAGCUAAUAGUGUAUUGAUACUACAGGGACUCGAGCCAUUUGAUGCGUGUGGUGAGGGAUUAUAACUCUUAUGGAUCUCUGAUUAGCGUUGGUUCUAAGAAAUAUAUCCAGAAGUGAUCUAUUAGGUCAUUAGAAGAUCAAGUUAUUAUCAAAGCCUAACUUUUUCUUUGCUAGUGAUAUCCUAAUUAGGGUUGAAUUUGAUGGUAGGGAGAUGAUCAAUGUUACUACCAAUUGUCUCUAUGACCUUAUUGAAGUAAAGGAGUCUAUCUACUUUUCAUAAAAGAUAGUUCAUAUGUAAAAGUGAUAAUUAUAAACUCAAUUUUCAAAAGUUACUUAAAAUAAUUUACUUAUUUGUUCUUGUUUGGCACUUGUCAAUGCAUAUAACGUUCAUUCAAUAGAAAAUUAGAAAACCUUCUUCUUUUAUGUAUUGCUCUACACAUACUCUCACUAAAUUUUUCCUUUACACAUAGAUAUCACCCACCUACUCAUCUCCACUAGUUUCUUUUAUAUGUACAUUUAUGCCUCCACUCUCUAAUUGGUAUCUCUACUCACACUCACUAAUAAAUUCUCUCACUUUCAUCGAGCUCUUUUUUUGUUGAAACAAGGUAGAUUUCCAUUUAUAUAAGAACAUGACAAUUUCCAUUGUUAUUAAACCAUACUCAUUUCAUCGAAACAAGGUAGAUUUUAUGCACUCCUUACCUAUAAAUACACUAGAAAAAGAGUGAUUGUGAUUGACUUCUUGAUUUCCACAAAAAUAUUUGAUAUACUUUUUUGUAUAAAACAUUCAAACCUAUAUUACAUUACAGAGAUCAAAAGGGGGAAAAAAGCAAAAGAAAAUUAUGUAUCCUCACAAACCUUCAAUCCUAUCUGUAUGCAGAACAAGAAGUGACCAAAGACGAAGCAAAUUAGAUGUGACAGACAAAUAAGCCUAGACAAAGCUUUUAGUUAAGUGGAUUUUCUCUAAAACCAAAACUUAGGUUGUUAAAAGCCCCCUUUUCUCGUAAAGCUUUGAGCUAAGCCUGGAGGAAGCCUUUCUGCUCUAGGUAACUCAGUACUUUCUCUGCCAUCUCAGAUGGUGAACCUCCAGUGUGUUUCAAGACUAUCUGAAACCCAAAAAGUUCAAAAGGGUCUCCCAAUCAGAUUCAAUACACAAUGUCUCAUUCAUAAAACAACCAGUUAUUUUCGUAAGAGUUCUUCUCGGUAUUUAACUAACUAUCAGCAUAUGUUGCAAAAAGAUUUACACUCUGUAGUAUAAGCAUUAAUCUUUUAAAGAGAUGUUAUCAUUUCCUUCAGGAUUUGGAAUUACCUCACAAUUAAAUGGUACUUCGUACGGAUCAUCGAUACCGGUAAAGCCUGCAAAAAAGUGAUAUUGCUUAGUUGAUAAAUGAAAAUUAAUAAUUCUGAGCAUAAUUAACUUAAUUUUAUUUGAUUAUGUCUUUUAGUUGAAAUUUAGGUUGUGAAAAUAAGGGGCCAAAAUAAGGUUAAAAGUAAUACUCAAAUCACACUACAAAACAAGUGAGAAUUAAUAAGAUCAUCAAGUAAAUCUAAGGAAAAUGAUAACAAGUUGCAGUGACCUUUGAUCUUCCCUGCCCGUGCAAGCUUAUAUAGUCCUUUGGCAUCUCUUGCUUCACAAACUUCAAGAGGAACAUCCAUGAACACCUAUAUAUUUUUAGCAAAUUUUUGUAAUAUAUAUUUCAGAUGCAAGGUAAGAAACCAGCUCAAAAUCUAUAGUACGCAAAAUGAAGAGAUACCUCAAUAAAGUAUCCAUUAGGCAAAAUGUCACGACAGGCAUCUCGUUCCCUUCGAUAUGGGGAUAUCAAACUAGCAAUGCAAAUAACUCCAGCGUCUGCAAACAGUUUUGCAACCUCACCUAAUUUAUGGAAGAGGUAUACUAAUUAGCAAUCCUUAACAGAACAGCAAAGAGAGUUAUUAUAAAUGAUAAUGAACCAAACUUACCAACCCUCCUUAUAUUCUCAGCACGAUCUUCUGCUUUAAAACCAAGGUCACGAUUCAAGCCAUGCCUCACAUUGUCCCCAUCAAGGAUAUAAGCUAACUUCCCCAUUUUGUAUAAGCUUUGACUCAAGGCACAGGCCACAGUGCUCUUCCCUGCAAAUUAGCUAAGCAUACUUAAAAAAAUUGGGCCAGUCUAUAAAGUCCCAAACCCAACUUAAAUAUUUCAGGCCAAAUUCUUUUAUAUCCUUUUCACGAAAUCUUUUAAAAGAAUGACCUCAAAAAUCAAAAUCAAAUGUUCCAUUGUUGGGUUUGGUCUACAAUCCAAACUGUAGGUUUCAUUUGAGGACAAUCUAAACUAUGGGUUCUCUAAACCAUGAUUAUUACAUAAUAAGUCAAAAACCAUUAAGCUGUAAAAGCAAAAGACAAAAGGUUCAAUGACAAACCUGAGCCACUGAGACCUGUGAACCAUAUCACGCAUCCUUUCUGUUUGAGAAGGCUCUGUUUUUCAUUCUUUCCAACUGAACAUUCAUGCCACUUGAUAUUAGUAGAAUUUCCUACCGUGGAUAACACUCCAUGAUUUUUUCCUGAUUGAAAAGCAUCUUAGUAAUCUGAACAGCUUAAACUACAGAAGAUAAACUCAUACCAUGAUGAAGAAAAAUUGGAUAUCACAUUAUAAAUUUAUGCCAACAUGGCAAAAAUUCAAACAUUGUGCAAUAAAAUCAGCAUUCCAACAAAUCAAAGCGUUCAACAUCACAUUGUAAAUGUGUAGAAAAAUACUGAAAAUGUCAAUGAAAAUAUAACUAAUAUCUACAUAAAUACUAACAAUAAGGUUCUUGCUUUUCCAAUUAUCUUAUUUCCACUAUCUAAUGAAUCAAACAAGACGAUCAAAACACCAGAAAUUUCAAUGAGAUGAUUCAAAGAGAAGUUCCCAUAUCUCACUAUACAUUAAAAAAUUCAAGAACUAAAAAUAACAGAUAUUCCGAUUCAACCAAAAUUAAAGUCCCCGAAUCAAGAUUCAAGAUUAUAUCAUCAAGAAACAUCAAAAUUGAAGCAAUACCCGAGUUCCCAGCACGUCCAUUGCCCAAGGCAGUAUCAAAGUCAGUCUCACAUUCACUCUUACCCAAACCAUCGACCUUCCCAUUAGCAAUCACCACCCUCGAACCCUUCUUCUCAACUUCAUCCCGCAAAACCACCGACGAUCUGAAGCUAAUCCUGUCGGGAAACCUAGCGAACCCAAUCGCCGACGUCGGAGAUGAUUGGUGGUGAAGCAACGGCGGUAUAGAACCCGGCAACGAAAUUCCUCCAAUCGAAACCAUAUCUCACACACAUCUCAAAAGGAAAACACCAUUUACUGAAAAAUAAAUAGAAAAAACUAAAAAAGAAAUGGAGAGAUGAAAUCAAGAGGAAAUGAGAUGCCAUAAUUGGUCGAAUGGCGGAGAGCCUCUCACGUUCUUGUCCGCCAUAAUAAUUAAUGACCGGUGGAAAACAAAAAAAAAAAAAGAGAGAAAAAAAAAUAAGAAGAAGAAGAAAAACAAGAAUCACGAGCCCUUUUCGCGAUGAGUCCUUGUUUAGAACCUUUCACUUAGAUUCUUCUUCUUCCCUGAAAUUUAUGUACCGUAGAAGAAGAAUGCGGAGCCGGAGCCGAAGCCUGCGGAACAGCGAGCCGUCCGGAGAAGAAGAAGAAGAAGUGAAAAACGACUCCGUUUAAAGUCCGACGAAAGCCAACGCAUUAAAAUGGGUGCGAGUUGUCUAGACACGACGUGAAGUUUUAAAAUUAUUAAAUAAUUAAAAUCGUAUAAUAUAAUCUAAAUAAAAACUUUAUGAUUAUUUAGGAAUAUACCAACUUCAUGUUUAAUUGAAGAGUACAAAAACAGAAAAAAAAAAACGAUAAUAAAGUCCAUGUCCCUUACAUUUUUUAAGGUAGAAAUAGUAAAUUUACAAUUAGAUUAGAAUCAUAUUAUCCUUUGAUUAUUAUCUUAUUAGGUCAUAUUUAUUAAAUUUACUAUUUUUUCUAAAUUUUUUUGACACCAAGUUUCUAUUUAAUUUGAAGUUUAAGGUAUGGGAGAGUUCUAUAUUAUGGUAAAAAUUCUAUUUUGGUACGUGUUAGUUUGUCUAUCAUUUUUAUACUUAUUGUUAUAAUAAAAUAAACCUAUUUUAGUUGUGGUUAUUUUAAAUUUUGUGGAUGUUGUGGUGUAUAUAAUUUUUAAGCUAUUGUUUUAGUUUAAAUUCUACUCAUCUAUUUUUAUUUUAAUUUGGACCACUUGUUAGGGGUACGAAUACACUUUUUUUUUAUAGAUAUGUUCGAAUAUAAGAGUAGGACUUUAUUUUUUUAAAUUGAAUCAGAUGCUAACAAAAUUUUAAAAAAAAAAUCGUUCAUAACACAUUUUUUUAACAUAUUACAAAUGUGACAAGUAAUUAGAGAUGUUAAAGAGCUAUCAAAGGCUAUCAGAGAACUAUUCGAUUUUAAAUUUGCUAUUUUUACAAUUUAGAAAAUUUAGUGACAUUAACUCUGUUAUCAUAGAUUUUUUUGCUAUUUUUGCAAAACUCAUUUACUUUUAUACUUAAAUAAAAAUAUUUAGAUCUUGUGUAAUAAUUCAACCUUUUCUUCUUCUUAUGUUCUAUUUAAAUCUUCAAGAAAAGAAUUAUCAUUCACUAUCUUAAAUGAAAAUAAAACUAGGAAAACUUUUAUAUGUAGCAAAAUGAAUCCAUCAAAUAAAAGAAAACAUAAACAUAUUAAGAGAAAAUGGGAAAAGGGAAGAGAAAAAUAAAGGGAAGGAAUAUAAGAAAUGAGAAAAAGGAAAAUGGAAAAAAAAAAGUUAUUUUAGUUAAAAAAUUAAAAUAAAAUUGGGAUUUUUUUAAAAUAGCAAAAUAAAUUAAAAUAUUUACAAUAAAAUUUUAGAUUAUUGUCUAUACAUGUCAUUGAUAUAAGUAUAUCAGUGACUAUCAAUGUCUAUUAUUGAUAAAUCUGAAAAAAAAGUAUAUGUUGUAAAUAUUUUAUCAAAUUUGUUGUUUUUUUUACAAUUCUCCACGAUGUCGAGAAAAUGAAGUGGUAUAAUGGUAUUCAGUGUAGUUUUUUUUUAAAAAAACUAACUUAGAUAAUAUGAAUUUUUUAAACGAACCAUGUGCAUCGUUUUAAAAAUUUUAAAAAUAUGAUUUAACGUUCGCUUUGGAAUAAUGCAUGUUAUAUCAACUUUUUUCUAACAACUACUUUUACAAAUUUAUGGUUGUGAACUUGUGACGUCCCUAAUUAGUGUAAUAUAAGAGCUUAACAUGCACAAAUAAAAAAGUAAGUUAUGAAGCGUUUAUGAUUUUUUAUGACAUCUUGUAUGAAGUUGUAAGAUAGGUAGAGUUUAUCAUGAAACCAAAAGCAAAGUUUACGAGUAUAAUAAACGACUAAUAAUUUUAAAAGCACUUUUAUCCAUCAAAGUAUAUGAUUGAGAGUUGGAUGAAAGAUGGAAUUCCCCAACCUAUGAAACAACACCUUCCCCAAUUUGCAUUUCCAUGUUUCCUCACUAAAUUCAAUACCUUCAAAACUCCCGCCAUUAAUGGAGUUAUUCACAAUCACAAUUCCCCGAAUCCCCCAUAAAAAUUCCCCAAUUCACAGAACCCUAACUAAAAUCCACGCCUCAUCCUCAUCCAAAUCCCCUAAUUCACAAUUACCACUUCCAUCAAAAUUCGGGCGGCAAAAUGAAAACAACAUUCCGACGAUGGCAGAGAUUGUGGCAGCGGGGGAGGCCCAGAAUCUGAGCCUCCGUCUGCAAACAUUGGGGCCGUUUUUCCGAAUAACAGCGAAAAGCUUGGGAACGGAGAGAGAGAUCGGGAAGGCGGAAGGUUUGGUGAGAGUGUGGUUGGGAGGGAAGAUUCUUCAUCUUGAUUCGAUUCGAUUGAACAGAGAAAGCUUGGGAAUGGAGAAAUCCAUCUUUGGGCUUGGAUUGUUCAUCGGUGCUGUUGCGAUUCGGUAUGGGUAUGAUUGUGGUUGCAAAACGGCGGAGUUAUUGGCCAUUAAUGACUCCGAUCUUUACCAUUCCAAGGUUUUUUUUCUUCUUAUCUCUUUCAUUUUACUUUUUACAUCUUUCUGGAUAGAAUUUGAUUGAAGAAGGCCAUGCACAGUAAUUAACACACACACCACCACAUGGUCAAACGGCAAAAAAUUGCAUACAGUCCACUCAAGAUAAACUCUAAUUGAUUUUAUAAUAAGUUCAUGUGUGUGUUAACAACUUGUCUUUCAUGAUUGUGUAACAAUUGAAGUGGUAAAGCCUUAACUCUCGAAGAUAACAAUUGGGUGAUAGAUAGCCUGAUAGGAUGUCAGUUACUCUUUCUAUUUUUUCUAGUAGUUCAACAAUUACAUACGGGGAUGGCAAACAAUAAUCCUUACCAUUCUAGUUACAAAUUAAGCAAUUUUUUUAGGCGAGUUAAGGAGAAAUGUGUGAAAGUUAUUUUAAAAUAAAAACAAAACAAAGGUAAUGACAUUGAAGAUUGGACGCAGCUGGUUAGAUUCUACACAAGGAUUGGGUUCAAGAGUAUGUAUGAAGUGAGUGGUUCAAAGUUAAAAGACAUUGGAGACAUGCUGGUGUGGGGAGGGAUUGGGACUAGAAUGGAUGCUCCCAUUGACUCCCUUCUACUUAAAUGGUGCACAAGGUUUAAACCUCACUAGUUCCUUUUUUUCCUUUUCUUUUGUUAAUUUAUAAGUAAGAUGUAUGAUUUGUAUGCAUAGUUCACACUUAGGUUAAAGAUGAUAAUGUUAAUGUGUUAGUUGACCUUUUCGAUUUUACUCGUUUAUGAAACGAUUUUGUUAUUAUUGAUCUUAUUUUAAGAGACAUUCUUAAAAUAAUCGAUACAAUUGGUUUUUACAUGUUUGAUGUGGUAAACUAUGCCGCAUAUAUCUUCCAACUUUUACACGUUACUAUCUUGUUAAUUUUUAUAUUUUUUAAUGAAAAAAAUAUUUCAAAGGGUUUUUGUUUUCAAAAAAAGAAGUUGCGUGAGUAGAGUAACGAUAACAAUAUAACUUGAAUGUAACUCCAACGAGUGGAGAUGAUGGAUCCCUAAAAAUGGAAUGGGGGGAGUUGGAUCGAAAAUACAUCUCUUCCCACGGUAAUAACAAGGGUGAGGUGUGCACCUUGACCCCGCCUCACCCCUAACUAAUCAAGGAGGAACUUCUUUUAUUGAAGAACCAAUAAUACUUAAAAAAAGAUAGACCUAAUUACUAAGGUAAUCUAGAGGUUAAGCUGAACUUUUAAUCUAAAUUUAGGAUGUGUUUGGAUUUAAUUUUCAAGUGAUUUAAUUAAAAGAUAAGUUAUUUUGUAAAGAAAUUCAUGGCUUUGUUUUGACAACUAUCUAAAAUAGAAUUUGAAAAAAUCGGUUUAUAAAAUAUUGUGAUUUAGAAUAAACAUUUUAAACCAAUUUUUGAAAAAAAAGAAUUUUAUAUUUUCACUAAAUCUUAAAUUUAGUUUCUAAAACUAAAUUUUAUUGAAAUCAAUUAAAUAUAUAUUUUCACAAUUUAUUAACAAAAAAUGGUAGUGUACGAAUCAACCGUUCAUUUUGAGAUUGAUGCAAAGUAAAACUAAUAAACGUGCAUUAACCAAAAUAUUUCAUUUUUCUUCGUAAAAACUUAUAUUUUUAGUCCUAUGUCUUCUAAAAUUGUGAGUUUUAAAAUUAUACAUUUAUAAUUCUCAUUUGGUCCAAAGUUUUAAAAAUGUUUAUUAUUAAUCUAAUUUUUAAGAAAAUGGGUUUAAAACAAUUUUAUUUUAAAUUAGAAGAAUAAUUGGUAAAAAUCUAUCUCUAAACUUAUUUCUUUUAAAUUUUAAAUAUCAUAUAAUUAUUUUUAGAAAAAGCCAACUAAAUCAUUUUUUAGAAACAUGAGAUUAAAAAAUAUUUUUUUCAUCAAAAUAUUUGAAAACUAAGAAGAUAAUUUUUAAAGAGAUUUUUUUUUUUUUAAUAAGAAACAAUUUAUUUAAUUACAAAAAAAAAAGAGAGGAAAAAAGGGAGUGGAGAAGCUGCCAAGCAAUAGCCAAAUUGAGGAUUACGGUAAUGAUAUCACUUCUUCCCCUUCCCGCGAGACGAAGCCCUAACUUCCCUCUCUUUCCUUUUUCAUUCUCACAAUUACCUCAACGGCGCAAACCAAAUGUCACGUCGUGAAGCUCGGGAAUCCGAUUCCAAGCGCCACCGUUCCCGAUUCGAUAGAGAACCCAGGUACCCUCUUCUCUUUUUCUCUGAUUGCAUACCCUUGUCUCUAAGUUUGCUGACUUAUUACCACUUUGUUCAUUUUAAAUGGAUUGUUAUUGCGUUACCACUGCUGGAGUUUUGCUCCUGUAUAAUUUGUUGAUGAUGUUUGUUUUGAUGUCAUCGUAAUCGGGAUGGUUGAGCAGUGUUCAUUAAGUGAACAUUGUUUGAAAAGUAAAGUCGUUCAAUUUGACUGUCUGUUUGUUAUAUAGUUGGUUGGUGUGGUAUAUGUUUAAAUGGGUCUCGAGAAAUUAGCAAUUUUAUGAAGCUUUUGGUUUGGGAGGACGAAUAGUGAAUUGCUAAUUCCUUCUUUCAGCUCUUGGUUCACUGUUUUCUCACUAUUGUAUGAGAGUUUCUUUUUAGAUAUUUGUAAAUUUUAGCUAUAAAGAGUAUCCGUUCGUUGGUUCUUUUUGUAUGUCAGGACGAUAGUUCAUCUAGCGAGAAUGAAUCAACUCCUAUUUAUUCGGUCGCUUGUAGUGUUGAAGAUGAAUCUAAGCCACUAUGGAAAUAUGUCACCAAGGAUCACAAGUUGAGUGAUGGGGGUGUAAAUUUCUCUUGGCAAUGUAAGUUCUGUCAUGCAUUAAUGAAAAGUUCUUAUACAAGAGUUAGGGCUUACUUCUUAAAGAUAAGCGGUCAAGGAGUGAGAAUGUGCCCCUAAAGUCACUCUUAAAGAUGUUGCUGAUAUGCAAAGAUUGGAAGAUGAAGUGAAUGCACAAUUUGAAAGAAAAAUUGCUACAAUUGCUUCUUUACCACCUUCAACUGCAUGAUUUGGUGGCAUGAGUAGUUCUCCUUCUACAAGGGUCGUGGCAAAGAAAAGGAAGGAUAGUACAAGUGUACAUGAAAGAUCAUUUGACAAGGCAUUUCAUGACCAAUUAGAUUGACUUAUUGCUAGAAUGUUUUACUCUUCUGGUUUGCCUCUUCAUUUUGCAAAGAAUCCACAUUAUAUAACUUCCUUCACCUAUGCUGCAAAUAAUAUGUUUUUGGAAUAUGUGCCUCCUUAGUUAUGAUCUGUUGAGGUCAAGUCUUCUACAAAGUAAAAAGGAAAAUAUUGGGAGAUCAUUGCAAUCUGUAGAAAACACAUGGCGUGAGAAAGGUGUGAGUAUUAUAAGUGCUGGAUGGAGUGAAGAGAGACCUUCCAUUAAUUUUAUGGCUAUCACGAAAGGUUGAAAAGGUGAAGAUAACAAUAUUUAGACAUGAAAGAAAGCAUCAUGAAAAAUCAUCCUCUUUCUAUAAUGUGGUACACAAAAUUCUUGUGGAUCGUCGGAACAAAAGACCAAUACCCCACCUUAUUGUUUAGCUUAUUCCUUGAAUCUAGGUACUUUUUAGUAUGUCAUAUGUUUUUAUUCUUAUUCUAAGUGUAUUAUAGGAGUUGACAUAUACUCAACUUAUAUUUAGGUACUAUAGCCGCCAAGAAUGGCUUGUUCCAUAUAGAGAUUUGGAAGUAAAUAGUGGGGGAAUGAAAUGUCUCGAGAUAUUUUAGCACUGAGGUGGAUCAUGUGAAAAUGCUUACCGAACUUGCUAAUUUUUGUAUAAGUUCUGGAGAUCUUUUUUAUGCUGAUUCCUUACGCAAUAGGUAUCAUAUGGAUCCUGAACGUUGGUGGGUUCUCUAUGGUGGGCAGGGACCAAUCAUUCAAUCAUUAGCUUUAAAGCUUCUUGUGCAACCUGCCGUGAUAGCCAUAAAAUUACCGGAGAACAAUAUGGAUAUGACAGUGACUAUCAGGCAUAAUGAGAUGACACCACAACGUGCAAAAGAUUUGGUGUUUGUGCAUAGUAAGCUUCAUUAUUUGUCUAGAAGAAAUCCUUGUUAUUUGAAAGGAGAGACCAAGUUAUGGGAUAUUGCAGGAGAUUCAUUUGAUUCUUUUGAGGAUGUUGGCAUCCUUGAAGUAGCUAACUUGUCAUUGGAUGAACUGGAUUUGGAGGCUAUGGUUUUCACUGAUGUAAGUGAAGUUGUCUGGGGUGGUAAAGAUAAAGCUGUUUUAGAAGAUUGAGAUGGGAGCUUGGACUUUACGUGGAAAACUGAUUUUCGUUCUAAAUUAUUUGCUUUUUACUAUUUAGUGUGUACAACAAACUUUGUUGGACAUCUACUAUUGUCAACUAACUUGACCCUUUUUGUUUCAGUUAAACACAUUUUGUUUUUAUGCAGUUUGAGAUAUUGAAUAUAUCACAAUGUACACAUUUUAUUUAAAAAUGUGUCCUAGUGCAUCCAUGUUCUUUUUUUUUUCUUUUCUAAUUAACUUGUCAUUGUUUCAUAUUUUAUCUCAUGCCGUGUGUACGCUGUUGUCUGGGUCCAUGCUUCCUAAGUUGUAAGUUCUUAAGUGUAAAUGUAGACUUUAAUUUCUACUUGGGUGGUCACCGAUGAAAGCUCCUAAUGGACAUGCGAUUGACUGCUCUUACAUGUAAAAAGCAGUUGAUUGUUGAUGGAUGUAUGAUUGAAAACUGUACUUUGGCCAAUAAUUUCGAAUGCUCAUUUCUUUUGUAGUAUCUGUUUUUUAUUGUAUGACCAUCCAGAGAAGGGGAUCAGUGCAUUUUGAGAAAUAGGUUGCCUGCAUGGAUAUUUUUUUAGCUCCAAGUUUUGAAGAACAUGUAUUUUGAUUGCUGCUAAAGAAAUGGCUGGACAAUCGCUUUUGCAAUGCUCGGUCUCAUAGUUGCUCAUGUUUAUUCGUUAUAGUUUCAAAUUACUUCUGGUUAUUGAUGGCUACUCAGUAACAUAUGAUUGUUAUCAGCCCUGCAUUAUGCUAGUUCAAUUUAGUUCCGAAAUGGCCUAAACAAAUAUUAUCGGCCCUGCACUAUGCUACACUUUCCUACUUAGUCAAAAGCAAGGGCUGUCAAGAGCAUUACAUUACCUUAAUUGAAUAUUGUGACGAUAAGAUGACUCCAUUCUUUAUCUUCUAAUUGAAUCAAAAUAAUAUUUAAGAUAAAAUAAGUAAUCUAUGCAUUUAUUAUGUGGUGUUUAAUCAUGGAACUCUAAUAUGGCAUAAUAUGUGACUUAUUGUUACUAGUCCCAAGAGGUCAAAGAGGGACAGGAAAACAUUAGAGGAGAAGUUAUCUAGAAACUCUAGUUCUCAUGUUGAAGAUAAUAAAGAACGGGAUCAGAAACAUGAGCUACGUCUUGUGGGGCAAGACAUGAUACCCCAUGAGUCUUCAUUAGCACUUGAGUCCAAACCAGAAGGUGGAGCUGGCAUAGGAGCAAACAGGAACAGUGAUGGGAGGGAUGGAGGGACUAAACAUUCAGUGAAUCCCACUGAAGUGCCACGAUCAAGAUCUUAUUUUCAGGUUUUUUCUACAUUGAGGAAUUCUUCCAAUUAAUCUUGCUAUUUUCUUUCUUAUUUUGUUUUUGGAAACUAAUAUGAAUUUAGUUUGGGUUGUCCUUGUCCACUAUUUAUCCAAAAUUCAUGGCUUGAUCUCAAGAAUAUUGGCAGAAUCUUAAAGUCAUUAUUGAUAUGCUUUUUCAUUCUUUAAUCUGUCAUCUCAAUCCUAACUUAGUAUCAGUUUUUUUUUUUUACUUUUACUGUGUUUGAUAAAAAAUAAGGCUGGGAGCUUCAAAUGUUUUGUAGUUUUAUGUUCUAGCUGUAAUUGCAAUAUUCACAGCUUUUCAUAUGAACCAUCGAGUCCCUGCAAGAUAUGGGCAUAAAAAUUCUCUGACUGGGUCUACCUGGAGCUAGUGUUCUAUCCUUGCAGAUAUAAAUGAAUCUGUAAGGGGAUUUCCUUUGAAUUUCACUAAAUUUAUAGUCUACUUAAUAUUUCAUUUAGCGAUAUAGGAUACAAUACUAGGUAUGGACUUUAGUCAAUGUAUUCUUGAAAUGAAAUGAGGGAUUUUUUUUCUUUGAAGAGAUUGUUAAAGUAGGCAUCUCAGCCAGAGCAUUUUCUUUCAUGAUAAAAUGACUUAAUAUUGUUUAAGGCAUGCAAUUUCAGGUGGGUCGCCUCAGUGAGGUGCAAGGUAAGGUGCUCCAGCCACACACUCACUUUUUAAAAGUAUGUUGUGACAUGGUUUUAUGGCUUAUAAAGGACAUGUUUGUUGGGUCAAACAUAUAUUUUUAUUUUCUUUGAGAUCUUAAUUUAGAUAGCUGUGGAAUUUCAUCAUCAAUAUUGGUAAAUUAAAUUGCUCAGCUCAGUAAUAAUUCUCUCCACUUCUCUGCAUUUCUUGCUCCUCCCUUCUCCUUUUUCCAUUACUUGUUGCAAUUGAGAUUACCCAACAUUUUGCUGGGCUGAUGUAAUUGGAAUCUUGUUCAGCCCUGCCUUCGAGUGCAUCCGUGUAUAUAACUUCUUAGGCUUGCCUGUGCAUGUCUUAUAACAGCACGAUGAACGCAGUAAUGCCGGGCAAGUUGGUCGAAGCUUUGGUCGGAGUGCAACUAGUGGUGGGUUUCAUUACUUCCUUUUAAGCCAUAAUUCCAACUUUUUUUUUGAGUUCUCUUAUUUUUUCUCUUGUGCAACGCCGUGAGUAUAGAUAGCAGGUGCAUAAAGGAAAUGUUGUUUAGUCUACUCUUUGUAACAUUACUAAUCAUAGCUAUUAUGCAUGUAUUAUUAAAGUUAUUAUUAUUAUUAUUAUUUUGACUUUCAUAAAUAUUAUUCUAAAUAUUUGGAGCAACUAGUCGAUAUUAUAUUUUUGUUGCUUAAUGGGACCAAAUCUACUUUUGAAUAUUUUCUAAUUAGUGUUCUACCUAUGGCUAUGUAUUGGUGUAAAUGGCUUCCUCUCCUUAAUAAUUACAGUAUUGCGACUGUUUUGCAACUUCAUUUUGGGAUCUCCGAUGUAUCUCCAUCCUCUUUCAUAUUAUCAAUAAACUAUCUUUCUGAAAGAAAAAGAAACUAUUGUUUCUGUAGUAAAUGCAUGUGCCUGUUUGUUACCUAACAUUCAUGGAUCAUUGGUAAUGAAGGCAUUGACAUAUCAACAUGUCAACAUACAUUCUUCCAGAGGUCAUGUUCUUAUUUAGGAACAGUCUUGCAUGAGAAAAUUUAGAGUAUCUCUUCAACCUUUCCAUUCUUGAUUCUCUAACGAUUUUGUAUCUGGUUUUGCCUUAUUUUCCCCCCUUAGAGCGUGGUUGGUGGAAGGAUUCAAAGGAUCCAGAUAAGGAUAGUGAUAGAGCAUCUGGGAAGUCAUUAACUUAUAAGUCACAGCAAAGAGAUGAGAAACCACAAGCUGCGAGGGAGGAUAGGCACCAUGAUGGGUCCUCGAAACUGGAGGUUGAUGCACUCACUCCUGCUCGGAAAAGGCCUGCAUUUAGGGAGAAGAAGAUUACAGUAGACAAUGAAGAUGGUGAGAAAGUGGCAAUGGUACCAGAGAGUAAGAAAUCAAAUGAUCUGCACCAGAUUCAGGAGGGAAGGGAACGAAGAGAAGAAAGAGGCCGUGACCCCCGAUAUUCUGAAAAACUUAAUAAUAAGCAUUCCAAUGGAGAUAUGGCUUCCAAAAGGGAUGAAAUGAAGAGAGUCGGCUAUCCAGUGAGAGAAAGAUAUGGCAAUGGAAGUGGUGGUGGAAAUUACAGGGGAAGAGACAGAUUUGGUGGGAGGCAAGGAUAUCGAACCAGUGGUACCCGUGUAGAGAAAUGGAAGCAUGACCUGUUUCACGAGGCUAACCGGAGUCCAACCCCAAAGAAUGAAGAGGAUCAAAUUGCCAAGGUUGAAGCUCUUCUUUCUUCGUAGAUUGGAAUUAGGCAAUGAUGCCAUCUGAUUUUAUUGAGUCUUCAGUGAAUACGCAUUUGACAAAAAUAUUCUCCAGCCUAGUGCAUUUGAAAUGACGUAGCUUUUGUUAUGUUUUUCCAUGACAUCAUCUCCUUUUUGUUCUCUUGCUUCUUGUUUGGUACAUUUCAAUGUAAUUGAAUUGCCGUAUUCUACAACCCAAAUCAGUAAUUUUAUUAGAGCUUCAGUUGUCGAUUUUGAGUUCACUGUUAUUUCAUGUGCAAGGCUUAUUUCCAUCAGGCAGUUGGAAAACUACCUUGGAAAGAUAUUAUUAGGCUUGAAGAACACAAUUAUACAUCUUUUGACAGUUCACAUUAAUGCGUUCCAGUGAUGAUAAUUUGUGGCUAUUGCAUUUGGGAAGGUUCAAACAAUCAAAUAUUGUAGUGGCUGAUAGAGUUGGGAUGAAAGAAAAUUUUCCUUUUCUUAUUCUUUUUGAAAAGUACAAACUCAAAAAAAGAGGUUCACCAUAGGAUCACACACAUAAAGGGAUCCCAAACUUGGCUUAUACCGUUUUACUAUUAUUUUUUUCAUUCAAACUUCCGCUCCUAUCAUUUAUUUCAUUAUCAUAUAUUAUAUUAACAUUCAGAGAAUCCCACACAUUUGAUUGCGACGGCACACAGGAGGACAGUCUGCAUCAUUCCCAGCAUGGCUGUCCAAAAAUCAGGCAUAUUGCUCCAACCCCAAGUUCUCCAUCUUUUAACAUUUUUCUUGGGACAAAUACCAUGUUUGAAUCAACUCAGUUGCCCUCGUUCGAACUGAAGCCAUCACUUCACGAAUGAAGAUGGAGGUGGCCAUGAACAGCACACAGACUGCCAUUGCUAACACAAUGAGCUUCUUCCUCAUCAUCUCCAUUAUCACUUCUUUUAGUUGGUUUUGCACUUAUUUUUUCUUCGUAGUUCGUUCUUGUAGGACUGCAGUGUGCUAAUUCUCUUCCUUUUAUAUGGCGAGGUCAUUAACUAGGUCUUCGGUGUUGGCCAACCAUGUAAAUGUUUUUCACAUUUGGCCAAACCAUGUAAAUGUUUUUCACAUUUGUAUUUUUAGACGAGUCAAGUGGAAAAAUUAUUCCUAGGUUUGUGUUUGUUGAUGCACCAUUUUCUAUUAUUUGAGGAAUAAUGGUUCAUGAAUUUGGGAAGUUUUUGUCUUGUAUGUCAUUUGAGCACUCGAAAUAGAUCAUUUGUACAAAAUCUCCAUUUAAACAUUUGUUUUUCUCGUCAUAUGCUUCAACCUAGUUGGAGUAUCUCAAUUUGACAGCUCUAGUUUACAUGCCUCUCUCUUAAAACCAAUAAACUUUUUAAUAUUACAAACUUCAACCAUAGAUCCUAAAAUAAGAACGUCACAUGCAGAAAUCCCAAAACAUUUGUAAUAUUAAUCACAAGCAAAUACAACAUCCCAUAGAAAAAGAUAUUACCAUAGAAUCUCACACAUAAGAGAGAUCCCAAACUUGGCCUCAACCAUUUUAAUUAUUCUUAUUAUUUUUUCACAUCAUAAACACAGGGCUCCUCCAUUUUAUUCUUGAGGGACAUCAUCAUUACCAUACAUUAACUAACAAUCAAAGAAAGCCACAGUACCCAAUAUUUAGUAGUGGAACAGGUUUGCAAUAGCACCCAGAAGGACAAUCUGCAUCACUCAAGCAUGGCUUGCCUACAAGCAGACAUACUCCAAGCCUAGACCCUCCAUUUCUCAGCUUUAAUUUUCUUGGGGCAAAUAUCAUCUCCAAACCAGCUUUGUUGACCUCAUCGGAAUUGACUUCGGUCGCCUCAUCAAUGGUGAUGAUGUCUGUGGCUCUGACAGAAUUGGCUACGAGUAGCACGAACACCAUUGCUAACACGACGAGCGUCUUCUUGCUCAUGAUCUCGCUCUCUAGAUCCCUCUCUUUCUUUGGCUAUACUAUGGAUGGUUUGGGAUUUAAAGAGGGAUUUUGCUCAAGUUCUUUCUUCUAUUUAUGGAAUUUUAGUUUGAUCAUUUGGAGAGGGUAUAUUUAACUAGAGUUAUGGUAUUUGCUGACCAUGAACACGUUUUUCAUACGAAUCCAUAUAAGUUGAUGAUAGAGACACAUACAAUUACACAAAAGUGUUUCUUAUGAACUUUAAUUUAGUUUUUGUAGAUGUAGGCCAAAUAUAUUUUUUUGUAAAGAGUGCAAUACAAGAAUUUUCUAAAUAAUCACUCAACUUAGUACUACUUUCAUUCAAAUACGCUUAACUGUAAAAUUCUUAUGAAAACUAAUGCAUUGUGUUGGAAUGAUAGCAUGUCUCUAAAUUUUGAUUUUUGUAUAUAAUAAACUAAUAUAGUUUAAUCUAAUAGUUUGAUUUUUUUUUUUAUCUAUUAGGUCACUUAAUAUGUACUAUAUUUUUGCAUAUGAAAGCGGAGAUGAUGAAAGUGCUAAGAGGGUGUCCACCUAGUGGAGAUGUUAGGUGUACCUAUUGAAUCAAUAUAUCUUUUUCAAAAAAAAAAAAAAAUAUAUGUACUGUAUGUUUGCAAAAAAAUCUUAUUAAGUUACAAAAAUGUUUACCAAAUUUGGGAAGAAUUAUUUUUUCUUCUUUUGAAUUUGUUAGGCUAUGAAAUAUAUGCAAACAAAUACUAAAAUAUGUACAAUUCCAAUUAGUAUUUUAAAUUCACACGCCUUUUAAAUAUUUAUUAUAUAUAAAUAAAGUUUCCAAAAUUUGCAAUAGCUGCUAUCAAUGAUAGCUUUCAAUUUGAAAAAUGUGCUAUUAAUUUCUAUAAUUGAUAUAGCUGCUAUUAGUGAUGUUGAUAUCAACGAUAACUUUCAAUUUGAGAAAUGUAUUAUCACCAAUAGCUGUUAUCGAUGAAUAUUACAUAUCACUGCUAUUAGAGAUAACUUUCAAUAUGGGAAAUGUGGUAUAUAUAUAUAUAUCACAAUAAUUGCUAUCGAAGAUAAACGUGUGCACUGAAAGGUAAACUUAAAAUCGUAAAAAAAUUUACAAGUUGACGGGUCAAUAAUUGCUACAUUUACAUAUAUUUUAAAGUUGUGUUAUAUUCUCAUUUUUUGAUUGUGUUAUUUGCUAUAGUAACUCUUCCUAUAUAUAUAAUGAUUUGAUUUGUGAUUACAAAGCUUCCGAGUGGAUACCUAGUUAGGAAUAAUCUUAUCUAAAUAUAAAACAAAGUUAUUUAUUCAACCAAUACCUCAACAACUUUAUUGAAUAAUAAAAUAAUUUAACAUUCAUAAAUCACGAGUUUUAAUUAGGACAUAAAACUCAACCACAAUUAACUACAAUAUUACUACAUUACUACUUCAUAUUUCUCUUUGUUAUGAAAUUUACUUAUUUCAUAUUCAUCCUCUCAUUUAUCGUAAUUAAGAAAUAUCUUAUUCUCCGUUUUGUCUACGGUUUCCUUCACCUACAAUCAUAAAUCCUAAAAAAAGAAUGUCACAAACAGAAAUCCCAAAGCAUUUGUAAUAUUGAUCACUGUGAAUAAUAUGGAGAAUAUUCUAGAUCUUCUUUAUUUGUUAUUUUAAAAUCAAUAAUACAAUGAUACAUAUAUAGUUAAUUUGGACAACCUAUAAGGAAAGGAUCAAAUUAAUCUAAUUACAAUAAUGUAUUCCUAAAUUACAGCUAAAUUACUUUAAUUACGGUGAUACCCUCCCUCAAACUCAAGUUGGUAGAGUAGAAACCACCUUGAGUUUGUGAAGUAACAGAGUGAAACGAGGAGAAUGGAGAGCUUUGGUGAAGAUAUCUGCAGGUUGAUCAAUGGUAGAGAUAGAUUGAAGAUGGAGAGUGUUGCUUUGAAGAUGAUGACGGACAAAAUGACAAUCGUUCUCUAUGUGCUUUGUUCGUUCAUGAAAUACAUCAUUGUGUGCAAUCUGAAUGGCACUGCGGUUAUCACAAUGGAGAGUAGUAGAUGAUGUUUGUGGGGCUCCCAUAUCAGUAAGAAGCCAACGAAGCCAUAAUAAUUCUGAAGUGGCAUCAGCUAGAGCACGAUAUUCAGACUCAGUGCUAGACCGGGAAACAACUGAUUGUUUCUUGCUGCGCCAGGAGAUAAGAGCAUCACCUAAAUAAAAACAAUAGCCAGUGGUGGAUCUUCUAUCAGUAGGAUCUCCUGCCCAAUCAGCAUCAGAGAAUCCAGAGAGAACCAGAGAAGACUGUGAGGAGAAGUGGAGACCAUGACCCAAAGUGCCUUUAAUGUAGCGAAGAAUCCGAAGGACAGCAGUGAAAUGAAUAGUACGGGGAGCGGCCAUGAAUUGACUGACUAUGUGAACUGCGAAUGCAAUAUCAGGGCGAGUUACAGUUAAGUAAAUCAAGCUACCAACAAGUUGCCGGUACAAAGUAGGAUCGUCAAGGGGAACACCAUCAUAAGGAGUAAGUCGAACAUUUGGAUCCAGAGGUGUUGAGGAUGUUGUAGAAUCAGUAAUACCAGAUCGACUGAGUAGGUCAGAAGCAUAUUUAGCUUGAGAUAAGUAAUAGCCAUGAGAUACGGAGGUGAUCUCAAGGCCAAGGAAAUAACUGAGAGGUCCUAAAUCCUUCAUUUCAAAGUGCUUUCCCAGGUAGCAUUGCAAUUCAGAUAUAGCUUGAGGGUCAUCGCCUGUAAUAAUCAUAUCAUCAACAUAUAAAAGAAGGAGUACAAUACCAUUAGGUGUCUGGCGGGUGAACAAGGCUGAAUCAUGAGGGCUGGAAGUGAACCCAAGUUGAGUAAUAGUGGAGCUAAAAGUUGCAAACCAGGCUCGGGGAGCCUGUUUGAGACCAUAGAGAGCUCGUCGAAGAAGACAUACUUUUUGAUGUGGCGGGGUAGUACCAGGUGGUGGUUUCAUAUAGACUUCUUCAGAUAGAGUUCCAUUGAGAAAUGCAUUUUUAACAUCCAUUUGUAAGAGGGGCCACUGUUUUGCAGCUGCAAUGGCUAAAAGACUACGAACAGACGUCAUUCGAGCUACUGGAGCAAACGUUUCUUCAUAAUCAAUGCCAUAUUCUUGAGAAUAACCUUUGGCUACAAGUCGUGCUUUGUAUCGUUCUAUAGACCCAUCAGAGUGUGUUUUGAUUUUGAAGAUCCAUUUACAACCAAUAGGUUUCUUUCCAGGAGGUAAGUCCACAUAUUCCCAAGUGUGAGUCUUUUCUAAGGCUUGAAGUUCUUCAUUCAUUGCUUGCUGCCAUAAUGGGUUAGUGCUGGCUUCCUUAUACGAGGAAGGUUCAACUAAAGACAUGAUGGUGGAGAAACAGUGAUAAUCUUUAAGAUGAGAGGGAAUUUCUCUUACCCGUGUAGAUCGUCGGAUUGGUGUAGAUUCAGGUUCCUCAAGAGGGGGAGAUGGAAGAUCCGGGAGUGCAGAAAUAUGGUCCGAUUGAGUGGGCUCAGGUAUAGGUAACAUGCAUGGUGUAGUGUCAGGUGUUGAAUCAAGUGAGGGAAAAAGAUCAAUAGACGGAUCGGUGAAGAAUGGGUGAGAACUUGAAAGAGAUUCAUGGAAUGAGGAAAGACUAGAAAACAUACGAUGUUCCCAGAAGGUGACAUGACGAGAUAUACGUAAUCGUUGAGAGAUGGGAUCCCAACAACGAAAUCCUUUAUGUUCAGUACCACAACCCAAGAAGCAACAUAGACGUGCACGUGGUUCAAGUUUGGUAUGUUCAUGAGGAUAUAAUAAUACGAAACAUGCACAACCAAAAAUUUUUAGAUUGGAGUAAGAAGGGGAAGUACCGUAUAGUCUUUCAAAGGGAGAAACAUUUUUAGUGACUUUUGAAGGAAGACGAUUGAUGACAUAGACAGAGGUGAGGGCAGCUUCGCCCCAGAAUUUUUCUGGACAAGCAGCAGAUAGAAGCUGAGCACGAACAGAGUCAAGAAUGUGACGAUGUUUGCGUUCAGCUCUUCCAUUUUGCUGAGAGGUGUGAGGACAGGAGCGUUGAAUCAGAGUGCCUUGCUGGGCAAGGAAGGAAAGAAGUUGAGAGUCCUUAUAUUCCAUCGCAUUAUCAGUUCGAAAGAUUUUAAUUUUGCUGGAGAAUUGAGUGUGAAUCAUAUUUGCAAAAUCAACAUAUAUUUGAUAUAAGGAAGAACGAUUUUUAAGAAAGUAAAUCCAAGUAAAACGAGAAUAGUCAUCAAUAAAUAAGACAAAGUAUCGAUAACCAUUAACGGUAGUACAAGGAGCAGGACCCCAAAUGUCAGAAUGAAUAAGGUCAAAAGGCUUAUUACAUAGAGAGGUGGAAUUAGGAAAUGAUAAAGCAGGUUGUUUUGCAAGUUUGCAAUUUAAGCAAUCAAAAUGACUGAAUUUUGAGACAUUAUUCAAAUUACCAGUAGAAACUAAAUUACGAAGUUUAUCAGAGGAUGCAUGACCUAGACGAAGGUGCCACUGAUAUAUAGAGGUAUCAGUGACUGGUGCAGAGAUAGGUGGAAACUCAGGAGAUUGCUGAAGAUAUGUAAGCUCAAAUAAUCGUCCCACCUUCCGUCCCGUACCAAUCACUUGCCCCGUUUGAGAAUCCUGAACCUGACACCCAUGAGAAGAAAAGAUAACAGUUAGUCCGAGAUCACAAAGUUGGCCAACAGAAGCUAGGUUGAAUGUGAGUUUUGGAACAUGAUAGGUGUUUGACAGUUUUAUUGUGGGUGUGUUAACAGUACCAACGUGAGAGAUAGGCAUAUGAUUACCAUCAGCAGAGUGAAUUGAGGGAAGAGAUUGAACAUGAGUAGGUGAGGAUAAUAAUGAAAUGUCAGCAGUCAUAUGAUUGCAACAAGCUGAAUCAAGGAGCCAAGAUGUACCUGGAGUGACGGCAAGAGCAGUAGAGUUGGAAGAGAUCACCUGUUUCAGUAAGUCAUGAAGAUCAUUUAACUGAAAAUUCUGAGGUGUGGUGAUAUCAGAUGGGGUAGCAGCAGCAACAAUAGGUGGAGAACUGUAUUUAGUGGAGGACUUGGGUUUAUAUGGAGCACCAGGAGGACGGGGUGGACGGGUGGGACAGUUGUCCAAGAUAUGACCUCGUUUGUGGCAAUACCUGCACUCAAUAGUAGGACAAUUAGCAAACUUAUGACCAUGAAGUUUGCAAUUUUUGCAGAAAAUAGACUCAUUAGCCGAUCGUGAAUGGGUGGUUGCAAGAGCGACAUCAGAUGGCAGAGAGGAAACAAUGCCAAGGCGGUUUUCCUCAAAUAAGAUUUCUUGUAUGGCAGCAUCAAGACUCGGCAGAGGGUUACGAUGUAACAAUGCGGCACGGACUGAUUCAUACUCUGGGCGAAGACCCAUAAGAACUUUGAUGAGGCGAAUAUGCUCCGGAUUGAUUUUUGCUUGAUCUAACUGAGUCCAUAUUGGUUGAAGAGUUGCAAGAUACUCGUUCACAGAUUGUCCUCCCUCCUGAUUUAGACUAACAAGUCGAGAGUGCAAUUGGUAAUAGUGAGCAAGUCCAAUAGACUGAAAACGUGUGGACAGAAAAUCCCAGAGUUCUUUUGCCGUAUCAAAUGCAUCAAAUUGUGUGUGAAUGGCUGGAAUAGAGGUGUUACCUAACCAAGUAAUGAUCUGAUGGUUUUUGCUAUCCCAAUCCUCAAGACGUUCAAUGUAUUUGUCGGUUUCUGCAGUCGUCUCUUGAACAGUGACAUCAGAUGGGUCUGUAUCAAUAUUUUCAGUGGUGUCCAUCAGAGGAGUAGGUUUGACUGGUUUAGUGAUAUCUCCAGUAACGAUGCGCCACAGUUUUCGACCUAUCAAAAAACUCCUCAUUUGGUGGGCCCAAGUGAUAUAAUUAGUUCCAUCGAGAAUGGUGCUAAUGGGACGAGCAACUUCAUGUUUCUCCAUCUAAAUAUAAUUAGCUGCUGUAGAUUCACAGAGUAUUUGCGGCUGGGAUUCGAGGCUAAAGUUCGUGGCUGGGAUUUCACUGGAAUUGCAGUUGGGAUUCGAGGCAGGAGGUUGCUGGAGUUCGCGGCGCGGUUGUUUCUUCACGGCAGGAGGUCGCCAGCAGAGGUCUUCAAGGCAGGAGGGUGCUUGCGACGGCGGCGAGUAUACAGUUCACAGAAUAUUGGUAGGAGGUUGCUGGAGUUCGCGGCGCGGUUGUUUCUUCACGGCAGGAGGUCGUCAGCAGGUGAGUUACUUCACGGUGAGAUGUUGUCUUCACGGCAGGAGGCUGCGGCAAGGUGUCGUGAAGUGUCUUCACGGCAGAAGGCUGCGGCAAGGACCGAGGGGAGAUCUGGCGCCUGGCGUUCGUGGAGCGUUUUCACGGCAGAGGGUUGCGGCAGGGAGAUUGACCGAGGGGAGAUCUGGCGUUCGCGGAAGCGUCUUCACGGCAGGGCUUCACGGCAAGGUGUUCGCGGAAGUGUCUUUACGGCAGGGCUUCACGGCAAGGUGUUCGCGGAAGUGUCUUCACGGCAGGGCUUCACGGCAAGGUGUUCGCGGAAGUGUCUUCACGGCAGGGCUUCACGGCAAGGCGUUCGCGGAAGUGUCUCUGAUACCAUGUGAAUAAUAUGGAGAAUAUUCUAGAUCUUCUUUAUUUGUUAUUUUAAAAUCAAUAAUACAAUGAUACAUAUAUAGUUAAUUUGGACAACCUAUAAGGAAAGGAUCAAAUUAAUCUAAUUACAAUAAUGUAUUCCUAAAUUACAGCUAAAUUACUUUAAUUACGGUGAUAAUCACAAGCAAUACAAAAUCCCACAGCAAAAAAGAUAAUUACACAUAAGAGAGAUCCCAAACUUGGCCUCAACCAUUUUAAUUAUUGUUCUUAGUUUUUUCACAUCUUCAUAAACACAGGGCUCCUCCAUUUUAUUCUUGAGGAACUUCAUCAUCAUCAUCAUACUUUAACAAUAAUCAAAGAAAGCGAUAGCGCCCAAUAUCUAGUAGUGUAUAAGGUUUGCAAUAGCACCCAGAAGGACAAUCUGCAUCACUCAUGCAUGGCCCUAUGUCCUCCAUUUUUCAACUUCAAUUUUCUUGGGGCAAAUAUAUAUAUCAUCUCUAAACCAGCUUGGUUAACCUCAUCCGAAUUGACUUUCCUCAUCAAUGGUGAUGGUCUGUGGCUCUGACAGAAUUGGCUACGAGUAGCUAGCAAGAACACCAUUGCUAACACAACAAGCACCGCCUUCUUGCUCAUGAUCUCGCUCUCUUCUCUCUUUUCCUUUGGCUAUACUAUGGAUGGUUUGGGUUUGAAAGAGGGAUUUUGCCUGAGUUCUUU